GUGCUCACUUUGGCAGCAUACAUACUAAAAUUGGAGCAAUACAGAAAUUAGCAUGGCCCCUGGGCAAGGAUAACAUGGAAAUUGUGAAGCCUUCCCUAGGAAA